rnacentral:rRNA from 1 species
UACAGAGGGUGCGAGCGUUGUCCGGAAUCACUGGGCGUAAAGGGCGCGUAGGUGGCGCGACAAGUCGGUGGUGAAAGUUCGACGCUCAACGUCGAAUCGGCCACCGAUACUGUUGGGCUUGAGCACUGUAGAGGCUAAUGGAAUUCCGGGUGUAGCGGUGGAAUGCGUAGAGAUCCGGAAGAACACCGGUGGCGAAGGCGGUUAGCUGGGCAGUUGCUGACACUGAGGCGCGACAGCGUGGGGAGCAAACAGG